ensembl:lncRNA
AUGUUUCAGGAGGAGGUGCAGCAGAGGCUGGUCCAGAGGAAGGAGGAGCACCACCAUGCACUGACCAGGGUGGAGGAGGUCAGACAGGAGGAGAUACGACUGCAUGCCGCUGUCAAGGAUCUGUUGGAGCAGCAGGAGGUGCUGUUGGCUCAGAGGAGCUCUGCCAUGUCUGCAGUGAGGGAGGAGCAGCAGCGGCUGGUCGCCCUGAGGACGGAGCUCAGCACACACAGAGCUGAGCUCAGAAACGUCCUCGAGGAGCUGCUUGUAGAGCAGCAGGCGCUGGAGGCGAUGAAGACCCUCCAUCAGCUCUACAGGAGGCAGGGUGGAGCAGGCCAGGGAAGAGGUGGAGAGGCUGAAGGAGGAGGUGGAGAGGAAAAAGGCGGAGCUUGGUGCACUGCAACAGGAAGUGGAGUUCCACAGGAAAGAGGCCGAACAGGUCGGAGUGGGGUCAGCCCCACGGUGACAUCAUCAUGAUGUGACCGCAGCUCCGCCUAAACAUCCUGGGCCCACAGGACUACACAUUAACCCAGUGCCAGAACUCCACCUUACACACACUGGGACCCCCCUGACUGCAGCUUGGGUUGUUGCCGUGGAAACAGGCGGCCUGCCUGUUAAUGACUAACACAUGUGGACCUGCACAGGAAGUGACUGAGUCAUGAACACAGGAUUCCAGCGGAGAGCAGCGGAGCUCUUCAGAGUAAAAGUCCUGGUCUCAGGUUUCUGUUGGACCUUCUGCUGAGUCAGCAGCUGCUGCUGAUCAGAAGUGAUGUAUUGAUCAGCCUCGUUCAGUUUGGAGCUUUUGGUUCUGUCCCACAGUUCAGUGUCUUAGCUUGAAUAAACACAGGCUUUUAUUGUGACAGCAGACAGGAAGCCGUGCUGAGUGUUUCCUGAAACAUGAUCAAAUGUGCAGGUUUGAAUUUUUCCCUCAGAAAGUUUGAGGAGUCGGAGGAGCUGGAGCCGACGAUGGAGACGGACCGCAGCAGAAAGAGGUCAGACACACUUUACUCUGGACAACACUAGGACCAUGAAAACCUGUGAG